AUAUAUAUAUAUUAGCAACCGCAGUAAGUGAUGCCAAUAAUAAGUGGCUAAACGGCUUUCUUUAAUUAAUUUUCCCCAAUUUCAAUUUCAUAAUGCUCUUUCUCUCUCUCUCUCCCUAUGAUGGAAGCUCUCAAUGUGCCUUAGCUCUCUCCCGCACUCACCCAUGGUCGUCACAGGUGAUUUCAUUGCAAAUUAGGUGAUUUCAUCGGUGUCUUGUGAGAAUACAAGUCAUUUAACUUGGAAAAUGCUUUGGAAUCUCACACAAAGGCCAAACACAAUGCUAGAAAAUAAAUGGAUUUAAAGAGAGAGCUUCUGAGUUCUGAUUGGAAAAUCUAUGUUUAGUCUAUUAGAGCCCUAGGCUCUCAUGAGUUUCAAUCUUUGAAGCAAGAAACUUCAAUGGCCUCUCCUAAUUCAACCAUCACAGCUACAACAGGUUCUUCAUCUUUAACCUCUGUUUUGCCUUUGAAUCUCACACUAUUAAUAUCGAAUCUCAAUGCUUUUGUCUUCACAAAGCUUGAUUCAACAAAUUAUAUAGUAUGGAGGAGUCAUAUGCAGAACAUGUUAAGAGAACAAAGCUUAUUGGAUAUGUUGAUGGAUCUGAGGUAUGUCCUCCAUCUAUGGUAUUAGACUCAAGUAAUCAUGAAGUUCUUAAUCCAAAUCAUACUCAGUGGCUCAACAUUGAUGCACACCUUUUGAGCUGUUUAACUAUAACCUUGUCUCCAUCUGUAUUUACAACUAUGUUGCACUAUCAAACAAGCCAUUAGGUUUGGAGUGUUCUUGCAAAAAGAUUCACUUCUCUGUCGAGGUCUCAUAAACACCA